rnacentral:tRNA from 3 species
GUAGAUAUAGUUUAAGCAAAACACUAGAUUGUGAAUCUAGCAACAGAGACCAAAAACUCUUAUCCACC